GAUGAACGCUGGCGGCGUGCUUAACACAUGCAAGUCGAACGGAAAGGCCCAAGCUUGCUUGGGUACUCGAGUGGCGAACGGGUGAGUAACACGUGGGUGAUCUGCCCUGCACUUCGGGAUAAGCCUGGGAAACUGGGUCUAAUACCGGAUAGGACCACAUUUUGGAUGGUGUGGUGGAAAGUUUUUCGGUGUGGGAUGAGCUCGCGGCCUAUCAGCUUGUUGGUGGGGUAAUGGCCUACCAAGGCGUCGACGGGUAGCCGGCCUGAGAGGGUGUACGGCCACAUUGGGACUGAGAUACGGCCCAGACUCCUACGGGAGGCAGCAGUGGGGAAUAUUGCACAAUGGGCGCAAGCCUGAUGCAGCGACGCCGCGUGGGGGAUGACGGCCUUCGGGUUGUAAACUCCUUUCGCUAGGGACGAAGCGCAAGUGUCGGUACCUGGAGAAGAAGCACCGGCUAACUACGUG
rnacentral:rRNA from 1 species